rnacentral:lncRNA from 1 species
AGGGGCGCGCGCAUGCGCGCGGGGGACGGUUCCCGUGCUGCUAGGCCUGCCGCCGCUUCCUGUCCGCCGGCGGAGAGCUGGGAUUGGGCUUGGGAGGCGGGGUUUGUCCUGGUCCCGCCCCGGGGCGGGAGCGCUCCUACGCGGAGAUAGUGCUCCGCUACGUGUUAGAGCUGCUGAGGACCUUCCCUUGGGCUAAAAUGGUCCGUGGAAGAUGAACCAUUCAGACUGCAUCCUUUGCCUCUUACUCUCCCAAAGGAAGAGAAGAACAAUCAUCAAUGGCAAAUGGCAGUUGCAGUGAAGCAACACCAGGACCCGGCUUCACGCUCAGGAGAGAACGCUGCGCCUCCUCCUUGUGGUUUCUGGUGUUCUACACAUUCAGAGAAAAUUCUCUAGUAACGAACUAUACAAAUGAUCCCUGAAAGUAUAGUCUUCCUUUUUUUUUUUCUUUUACAAAAUGUGAAAACUGAAGAGAGGUUAAUUUACGAAUUUAAUUUUACCCAAGCUUGUAAAAUUAGUCAGUGGCAGGACCAGGUUCUUGUGGUCUCCAUUCAUCACACUUUCGGUUACAUUGGGUUGCCUCCAUGUGACCAUGCUUCAUAUUCUCUUUUGUGCCCCAAAGCACCACAUCUAGAUAGUCAGUGAAAAUUAUGGAGGUUCAUUAUUGUGAUUAUAAACCAAAUGGGUCAGAAUUCUUACUGUAUGCAUAUUAACAAUUGACAACUAUACUUCUCAACAAUGCAAGUAGUUUUUGACU